AAAAAAAGUGCUAGGAAAUAAUUGGAAAAUGUCAACUGACAAAAGCAGAUUGCCUUCAGCAUGGGAUAUGAUGCAGCAAUAGCUGAUCACAUAAAGCCAGUCACUUAGCAGAACAAGCCCUUUUCAUUGGAAUAAAACGUCAUCUAUCAGUAUACUUGGAGGACUGCAAUAUACUUGUAAAUGGAGUCGCUUUUCUGUCUCCCGUACCUGCUGUCUCUCCUGAAAGACUGACUGCCUCACCAACUCUCCUCCUCUAGUUUCCGCUAAUGUUCAACCAAAGGCAAGGACCCACAGGAGAUCCGGG
rnacentral:lncRNA from 1 species